rnacentral:rRNA from 1 species
UACGUAGGGGGCAAGCGUUAUCCGGAUUUACUGGGUGUAAAGGGAGCGUAGACGGCGCAGCAAGUCUGAUGUGAAAGGCAGGGGCUUAACCCCUGGACUGCAUUGGAAACUGUUGUGCUUGAGUGCCGGAGGGGUAAGCGGAAUUCCUAGUGUAGCGGUGAAAUGCGUAGAUAUUAGGAGGAACACCAGUGGCGAAGGCGGCUUACUGGACGGUAACUGACGUUGAGGCUCGAAAGCGUGGGGAGCAAACAGG